CGUGUAGGCGGUUAGGUAGGUCCGUUGUGAAAACUCGAGGCUCAACCUCGAGACGCCGAUGGAAACCCAUCUAACUAGAGUCCGGAAGAGGAGAGUGGAAUUCCUGGUGUAGCGGUGAAAUGCGCAGAUAUCAGGAAGAACACCCGUGGCUAAGGCGGCUCCCUAGUACGGUACUGACGCUGAGACGCGAAAGCGUGGGGAGCGAACA
rnacentral:rRNA from 1 species